GAAAGGGACGGUGAGAGAGGCUGGAAGCCAGCUAGCUUGGAGACAUGCCUUUCUACUAAUGAAGUGGUGCUGUAAUGACUCCAUAGAGGAAAUGUACUUGGGACUGCCACAGAGCUUUAUGAGUGGAAACUCAUUCUCCUCUGUUUUGGCUGCUCUAACUUGUGAACAUCUCAUCAGAAUCAAUUCGAUAGAAGGAAACCUUAACAAUGUUACCUGAAGAAUAACAAUUUUCAAUAAUAGCAUUUUCAGAAGCCUAGACAGGAACAGCAGGGGUGGGUGGGCCAGAGUGACUCAGGGCUGCUGAUAAAGCCCCAGGCCACGUUCCACUCUGCUCUGCUGAACCCAGUGUGCUACUGUGAGGACCAGAUAUGAUAAUGUACGUGCCUGUCCUCCAAAUCCUGGAAAGGGCCAUCAGCUCUGAUCACAACAGCCACCCUGGGCUACAUCCUUGAGUCUCGCUGCCCUAAGCAGAUACUAGUAACUUUUUGGAAUGAAGGGAACAUGGGGAGGCUGGGCGCAGUGGCUCACACCUGUAA
rnacentral:lncRNA from 1 species